rnacentral:lncRNA from 1 species
GCUGAGAAGCUCGAUAAAAUAUAAGACAUGCGUAGGGAACAAGAAGAUCCAAUGUGCUGAAAAUUGAUGCUUUAUUGCGAUAAGUGAUGUUCUCAGAUCAGCUGCAUUAUGUAUCAGGUGUCUGCUUGGUUUGUUAUAUUUGCAGAGGGAUGAUGAUGGUGGUGGUGUUAGGACAUCUCUGCAGUAAUGAAGAACUCUACAAUCCCAAUCUUCUCUUGAGAUGGCUCGAAUGUGCCUUUAGCUCUCUGAGAAUGUGGUGGUUUGAUGGACAAUGACAUGGUUGGCUCUGUAAUCUGUCUCUGCUUUUAAGACGUUCCGUUUUCU